rnacentral:misc_RNA from 1 species
GCGUCAACAGCGACGCCAGCAUCGCCACAAACCCCGAGAACGGAAACCGCCGCCAGGGGAAUUCCGGCAGGCAAGGAUCAGUCAGCGCUGACUGUCCAUCAUGCAGCAUGUGUACAAACCCAGUGGCAAGAAUAACCCCGGCCGCGAACGCCUUCGCAAAAACAAACAGCCCACCGUCAGUCCGCAAGAAUCGCCUCUUCU